AGGAGACGUUGAAUACAAAACACCACCAUCGGCGCGGUCGUCCUUGGCGCGUUCGUGUUCACGCACGGGCGCGCGAGGGCGGCUUAGCCCGGUGGCACCGGUGAAU
rnacentral:rRNA from 1 species